CAAUCCGCAGCCUCUGGGUCUGUGCAGUGACCAGCCAGUCCCCUGAGAACUUUCCCCUCCAGCACCCGGGACAAUGGGAUUUUUGAUUCUUGUAAUUUUCGCUCUAGCAGCUUUGGAAGGUGUCCGGUCCCAGGCGCUGGUGGAGUCCGGAGGGGAUGUGAAAAAGCCCGGAGACUCUCUCCGCCUCUCCUGCAAAGCCUCCGGGUUCACCUUCAGCAGCGCCUACAUGAACUGGGUCCGGCAGGCUCCCGGGAAGGGACUGGAAUGGGUCGCUCAAAUAUACCCCAGUGGGAGUAGUACAUACUACCUUGAUUCAGUGAAAGGCCGGUUCACCAUCUCCAGGGAUAAUCCCAAGAGUGAGCUGUAUCUGCAAAUGACCGGCCUGAAGCCCGAGGACACCGCCCGCUAUUACUGUGCGAGAGACACAGUGACACGAAACCGGUUUGUGAUCAUACAAUAA